rnacentral:rRNA from 1 species
UGGGGAAUAUUGCACAAUGGGCGCAAGCCUGAUGCAGCCAUGCCGCGUGUAUGAAGAAGGCCUUCGGGUUGUAAAGUACUUUCAGCGGGGAGGAAGGGAGUAAAGUUAAUACCUUUGCUCAUUGACGUUACCCGCAGAAGAAGCACCGGCUAACUCCGUGCCAGCAGCCGCGGUAAUACGGAGGGUGCAAGCGUUAAUCGGAGUUACUGGGCGUAAAGCGCACGCAGGCGGUUUGUUAAGUCAGAUGUGAAAUCCCCGGGCUCAACCUGGGAACUGCAUCUGAUACUGGCAAGCUUGAGUCUCGUAGAGGGGGGUAGAAUUCCAGGUGUAGCGGUGAAAUGCGUAGAGAUCUGGAGGAAUACCGGUGGCGAAGGCGGCCCCCUGGACGAAGACUGACGCUCAGGUGCGAAAGCGUGGGGAGCAAACAGG